rnacentral:rRNA from 1 species
AUUUAAAGUAAUAAUGACAGGCAGCUAAGCAGGGUCAGGCCUGGUUAGUACUUGGAUGGGAGACCACCUAGGAAGACCAGGUGCUGUAGGCA